rnacentral:tRNA from 1 species
GCUCCCGUGGCGCAAUUGGAUAGCGCGACAGCCUCCUAAGCUGUAGGUUGUGGGUUCAACUCCCACCGGGAGCG